UUUCCCGUGGCUCAGUUUGUAGAGCACUGUUCUAGUGACGCAAAGGUCAAGGGUUCAAAUCCCAGGGAAAG